rnacentral:tRNA from 3 species
GGGCGGUUAGCUCAGUCGGUAGAGCAGCGGACUUUUAAUCCGUUGGUCGGGAGUUCGAAUCUCCCACCGCCUACCA